UGGAGCAUUGAAGGUUUAGUGCAUAGUCCAAAAUACGAUGGAUUGGAAGUGUCAUAGUGUCACAGCUGUUGUCGUUGCACCAAGAGUAGAAUCGCCACCACUUAAGGGAGCUCCUGUCAAACGAGUGGUGCAGCAUAGGAGAAAGUAGGAAGGUGUUUAUCUGAAAAUUUAACAACUGAGCAGUGGAGGCUGAAAUCAUGAGUCCAAUAAAGGUGCAUUAAUACCUCAAAUAAUUCCGCUUCAUCUGCUACAUGACAUUGCGUCCCCCAGGUAACAAGCAAGCCUUCAUGGAAACUAUCAUUUGCAAUCAACGAGAAAACAAAUAUUACAAGUCUCUGUUUUCUGUAAAAUUGUUUGUGUUGGCUCCAUAGCCCAGACAGCAUCAGUCACAACAGAACAAAGGUGUAACCACAUAUAUUAGUUCAUAGAUGGGAAGUUCUGAAUCCAACCAAUCCCUCCUUCCAAAAGUUUAUGGCCUUGAUCAUUCUCCCACUGACAAUGAAGAAUAGGCUUGGGAUUUAACAGAGUAUCCCCAUGAGGAACAAUCUUUGAAACUAUACAUUAAUUUUUAUUUUGCCUGAAGGGAAUGUUGUCGAUUUUUCCACUGGAAGCUGAAUCUUAGGAAGCCAGGAGUAUUUUUAUUAGAGAAUUUUAUUGUUUGUAUCACCUAAAAAUAAACUGUACCGCAUAACCACAGAGCAACAUUGAAAUAAGUGUUGAUAACAUCGAGAUGCUUGGCAUGUUAAACUAUUCUUGUAAGCAGUACUGUUUUAAGAAGCUAUAAAUCUUCAUACAUAGCUUUGAAACUAUCAACUGUACAAAAUGAGAAGAACAGACAACCCAAACAGAUGGAACAUCAAGUGAUCAGACUUCUGGCUGCAAAACAAAUUGCUUGGGAAUGUAAAUGGCAUGCUAACCUUUUAAGAGAACUCUAGACAGAGUUGUUCCUAACCUGAGGAUACUAGAUAAAGUCUGGAUUUGCACAUUCCAGUGUAUUAAAAGGAGGCAAAAGGGCAUGUUUCCAGUAUCACCCAUUUAUGUUAAAAACUGGUUCAAUAUAAGUAAACCAAGAUAUUUAUUUGAUAUAUAUUUGUGAUUAUCUCUGUAAUCACAGAUCAGAGAGGAAAGUUUGACAAAACUAACAUUUUUCAUUGUUUAUUAUAUAGUAGAACCUCAGAUUAGAGAAACUUAAAAGGAGAGGGAAUAUUAUGCAUAAAGUAAAAUAACAAAAUUGGCUGAUAUUAAAUCUUUCAGUAGUCCACAAGAACUGCAAUAAUUAAUCAAAUUAUUUAAAAGUAAAUCAGUGUUUCUGAAGAGUGCUGGACUGGCAUUCCUAAACCUGAAGUCUGUAGAUCCACAACACAGGUAAAAAGCCAUGGCAAAUACUAGCUUCUUACUAACAUGUUAGUGUGCUAUCGACAGAUCUAACAAAUUCACAUUGUAAAAGCAAAUGAGCACAACUGGAAGUGGCCCUGAGUGAGCCCUGGCUAACUCAGAGUAUCUUUUUGAGCCCCUGUAUAGGACAAGCCACAAUUUAGUCCUAUAUGUUGAAAGACUACAUUAAUCAGCAUUGUGAGUCCCCUUUCUGGGGAUCGGGAUACAGAGCGUAGAAUGGAAAGGUUCAACAAUUUAAAAGGCCCAUUUAUACAGUCAAGAUGGGUAUGUCUACAGGAAGUUGCUACUCAUCUCAAGAAGUGGGUUGUGCCCACGAAAGCUCAUGAUAUUGUAUACAUUUUUGUAAGUCUCUUAGGCAAGGGUCGCAAGCCAUAUAUGUCUCACUUAGGAGCCAAAUAUGGCUCACAUCUCGAGCUCAGCCCCCCUUCACUCUUCGGUCCUUCCCACAACAGGGAGCCCGUGCUGGCGCUGUAGCCUCGUGACCCUCACAAGACUGGAGCCAGCACCUGCUUCCUGCAGGCGCAAGGGAGUGGAGAAAGGCCUGAGCCUUGCUGCGCGAUCAGGGAAAAAGUCGGUGCUACAAACGGCUCUGCGCACGCCUUUCCCCUCCCUGCUCCUGCAUCCCCAUUCCUACCCUACUCACAGGCCAUUCUGUCCCACACACUGGACCCCUCAUUUUUUGUUCCACCCCAGAGCUUUAGGAGGGC